rnacentral:rRNA from 1 species
GACGAACGCUGGCGGCGUGCUUAACACAUGCAAGUCGAACGGUAAGGCCCUUCGGGGUACACGAGUGGCGAACGGGUGAGUAACACGUGGGUGAUCUGCCCUGCACUUCGGGAUAAGCCUGGGAAACUGGGUCUAAUACCGGAUAGGACCACUGCCUGCAUGGGGGGUGGUGGAAAGCUUUUGCGGUGUGGGAUGGGCCCGCGGCCUAUCAGCUUGUUGGUGGGGUGAUGGCCUACCAAGGCGACGACGGGUAGCCGGCCUGCGAGGGUGACCGGCCACACUGGGACUGAGAUACGGCCCAGACUCCUACGGGAGGCAGCAGUGGGGAAUAUUGCACAAUGGGCGCAAGCCUGAUGCAGCGACGCCGCGUGAGGGAUGACGGCCUUCGGGUUGUAAACCUCUUUCAGCACCGACGAAGCGCAAGUGACGGUAGGUGCAGAAGAAGGACCGGCCAACUACGUGCCAGCCGCCGCGGUAACAC